AAGUCGAACGCGUUGGCCCAAUUGAUUGAUGGUGCUUGCACCUGAUUGAUUUUGGUCGCCAACGAGUGGCGGACGGGUGAGUAACACGUAGGUAACCUGCCCAGAAGCGGGGGACAACAUUUGGAAACAGAUGCUAAUACCGCAUAACAGCGUUGUUCGCAUGAACAACGCUUAAAAGAUGGCUUCUCGCUAUCACUUCUGGAUGGACCUGCGGUGCAUUAGCUUGUUGGUGGGGUAACGGCCUACCAAGGCGAUGAUGCAUAGCCGAGUUGAGAGACUGAUCGGCCACAAUGGGACUGAGACACGGCCCAUACUCCUACGGGAGGCAGCAGUAGGGAAUCUUCCACAAUGGGCGCAAGCCUGAUGGAGCAACACCGCGUGAGUGAAGAAGGGUUUCGGCUCGUAAAGCUCUGUUGUUAAAGAAGAACACGUAUGAGAGUAACUGUUCAUACGUUGACGGUAUUUAACCAGAAAGUCACGGCUAACUACGUGCCAGCAGCCGCGGUAAUACGUAGGUGGCAAGCGUUAUCCGGAUUUAUUGGGCGUAAAGAGAGUGCAGGCGGUUUUCUAAGUCUGAUGUGAAAGCCUUCGGCUUAACCGGAGAAGUGCAUCGGAACUGGAUAACUUGAGUGC
rnacentral:rRNA from 2 species